rnacentral:lncRNA from 10 species
GGCAAUUCAAGAAGAUCAAUCCCAUGGAGGCGCCCAGCUCCUGUUUCCAAACACGCUUCCUGGCCUGCAGAUACCUUGACGGCAAACUUCAUGUAAAGACUUGGUAGAGAUGAUUCAGCGUUUCCAACAUGUUUCAUCAUCUUUCUAAGGGGGGGCUCUGGAUAUUUGUUUUACAGAUGAGGAGACUGCAGCUCAGAGAGGACAGUUCACUUGUUCAUAAUAUACCUCUUCUGGAACCAGAAACAGAGACCAAGCCCACGGUGAACAGAUUCCAGAGUGUGAAUUCUUUCAUCUUCUGUGUCCCCUGAAGGUUUUAUUUGCCAUCGUGCUUAGCUGAAAAGAGCUGAGAAAAAGUUAGAGCUAAUAUUUUGGGAGCAUCUCUAUCUGCACCUUACUGCUUACCCAGGCAUUGCCUUGUUGAAUCCUAACAGCAGUCCUGUGAAGUAGGAUUAUCACCCCCAAUUUUCAGGAGCAAACUUGGACGCCUCGCUCAACUUGUCGAUUGAAUCUCCUAAGUCGAUUGAAUCUCCUAAGUCCACGAAUCUUGAGCGGAGCGGGGAUCCAGGCUCAGGUCAGCAUCCAUGGCCUUCUGCCACAUGCACUGUUUUGCUGUUGUGCCUAGGACAUUUGCUUCUCCCUGGAGUGCUGAGGUCCCACAUAAUGAGCAAGAUUGAGAGGAAAGGGAAGAAGAAAGGGCCGAUACCAAAACCAGCUCAGGGUAGGGGACUGCAAUAAAGGGGAAGAAGAGCAGGACAUGAAAAGGCUGGUCCCUUCCCCAUGGGAACAGGGAAUUAGGGGAGAGAGUUUGGUACUAUGAUCAUGACUGUUCUCCCUUCAUCAGAAUUAGAAGUACCUAGCCCUCCAAUUCUAGAUCUUCCCAAAUUUCAGAACUUUGUUAAAGAUGAACAUUGUCAGGCUGGGUGCGGUGGCUCAUGCCUGUAAUCCCAACACUCUGGAAGGCCGAGGCAGGCAGAUCACAAGAUCAGGAGUUCGAGACCAGCCUGGCCAACAUGGUGAAACCCCAUCUCGACUAAAAAUACAAAAAUUAGCUAGGCGUGGUGUCAGGCGCCUG